AGUUGAGCUUCGGGCUGCGGUGGUGGGGCGAGCUGCCCGCGCUCCCGGGACCGAGGCGGGCCUGCAGACCGCCCGCCGCCCCCCCAGGACCUGGCUGGUCGCCCCCUAAGACCGCCCGCCACCCCCAGGUCCAUCCGCCGGAGCAGGCGUCAUGGUCACGCCUCUUUCUCCCCAAGUGAUAAAGCUCAUCUAUUAAAGGAAGCUUUAGGAAUGCGAAUUUCAGGAUUGUUUGACAAGCUACUUCACUGCCUGGUGUAGUUCUUUGGGCAUCAUGAGGCAAACAGCCGGGCUGUGAACAGCCUCCAGGGACCGGGGGCAGCCUCUAGAUCCCAGGGCAGCCAACAGCCAGCAAGAAGCCAGGACCCUCAGUCAUCAGCAGCGAGGAAAUGAAUCCCGUAAACACCUUGCAUGGACCUGGCAGCGGAUUCUCCUCACUGAGACCUCCAGUUGAGGAAACUGAGUCACGAGUGGGCUCCUCCUUAGCAGGCUAAGGAGACAGAGGAGUGGACCCCAGACUGCCUGACCUCCUGGCGCCUGCAUCGUGGAGGCUCUUAGGCAUGGUGUGAGGGGCGCCUGGAGAGAUGGGAGGCCUGCAGGUGACAGAGGCCAGGACCCGCAGCCCCGAGAUGGAAAAGCAGGCUGUGUCGCCUUUAAAAGAAAGACCACACGAUUACACCUCCAACAGGCUACAGAGGCCCGGCCCUGCCCAGCUCCUCCCGGCCUUCCUGUCUCGUGAUGGCCCCGCCCCUGUGGCCUUCUCCAUCACUCAUUCAUGUCGGCCCCUGCCCAUCUUCUGCUGGAGCGUAAGGGGACUCUUCCUGGCCCCCGUCCUCAGGCUCCCGCCCACCGCCCAGGGGCAUCUCACUGAAGCCAGCCAUGUCCACCGUGCAGGCAGCAGGUAGGAGCCACCGAACAGGGCUGGAGAGGGGGGCCAGGGUGGGCCUGGCCGGAGGAGGGUAUGGAGCAGGUGGGGUGGGGGAGAGGGGCCCUCACGGC